CUAGCAUUUUGCUAAAUCUUUGGAGGAUACAGGAUGUAUUCAUGUUGGCCCCUGCCUUCACGAGACUUACAGUUAGGCCGGGCGCCCUCGGAAAAUGCAUCUGCUUAUGUCCUGUGUCCUGAGGACUUAGGGGUGAGCCAAAGUUGACAUAGCCCCGACCCACCGGGAGCAGACUUCUUGGGAGGAAUGUGAUUGACACAGCAUUUACAAGGGAGAUGGAUUUCUCAAAGGAAAGCUGUUGUGCAUGCAUUUGUCGGGGAUCUGAUCUGUUCGUGGUCUCAGGAUACCUUCUUUGAGAUGAGGAGACAGAAGAAGGGGGAGGAUGAGAAGACUACAGAUAUACUGAGAAGAGUAAGAUCACAGUGGAGUGAGGCUGGAAGGAGCCCAAAGGGAGGCUGCAUAGGGACUGAGGGCAGGCAGCCCCACAUCCCAGGCAGCUGGCCUCCCCCGGAUUGAAGAUUCUGACAGGAGCCCUCUCCAUGCACCUCCAGUCCCUCUCUGAGCACGUCUCAGCUAUUUAUUUGGUACCUAAUAUGUGCUGGACCUUCUGCUUGGUGCUGAGCACACAGGCCCCCAGACUGUGAGGCUCUCAUGCAGUCAUGGUGAUGAUGUGCAAGUAUGGUUUGACAGAGCUGGGAAGCAAAUAUUAUCUUAAAUAAAUCUAC
rnacentral:lncRNA from 1 species